UCGACGAGUCGAGUUGUUUGGGAAUGCAGCUCUAAAUGGGAGGUAAAUUUCUUCUAAAGCUAAAUACUGGCCAGAGACCGAUAGCGCACAAGUAGAGUGAUCGAAAGAUGAAAAGCACUUUGGAAAGAGAGUCAAAUAGCACGUGAAAUUGUUGAAAGGGAAGCGCUUGCAGCCAGACUUGCCUGUAGUUGCUCAUCCGGGCUUUUGCCCGGUGCACUCUUCUACAGGCAGGCCAGCAUCAGUUUGGGCGGUUGGAUAAAGGUCUCUGUCACGUUCCUCUCUUCGGGGAGGCCAUAUAGGGGAGACGACAUACAACCAGCCUGGACUGAGGUCCGCGCAUUUGCUAGGAUGCUGGCGUAAUGGCUGUAAGCGGCCCGUCUUGAAACACGGACCAAGGAGUCUAACAUCUAUGCGAGUGUUUGGGUGUCAAGCCCGAACGCGUAAUGAAAGUGAACGGAGGUGGGAACCCUUGGGUGCACCAUCGACCGAUCCUGAUGUCUUC
rnacentral:rRNA from 1 species